GACGAACGCUGGCGGCGUGCUUAACACAUGCAAGUCGAACGGAAAGGCCCUGCUUUUGUGGGGUGCUCGAGUGGCGAACGGGUGAGUAACACGUGAGUAACCUGCCCUUGACUUUGGGAUAACUUCAGGAAACUGGGGCUAAUACCGGAUAGGAGCUCCUGCUGCAUGGUGGGGGUUGGAAAGUUUCGGCGGUUGGGGAUGGACUCGCGGCUUAUCAGCUUGUUGGUGGGGUAGUGGCUUACCAAGGCUUUGACGGGUAGCCGGCCUGGGAGGGUGACCGGCGACAUUGGUACUGAGAUACGGACCAGACUGCUACGGGGGGCAGCAGUGGGGAAUAUUGCACAAUGGGAGGAAGCCUGAUGCAGCAACGCCGCGUGCGGGAUGACGGCCUUCGGGUUGUAAACCGCUUUCGCCUGUGACGAAGCGUGAGUGACGGUAAUGGGUAAAGAAGCACCGGCUAACUACGUG
rnacentral:rRNA from 1 species